UAAAGUUACCCCACUCUUAUUUUGGUGGUCCAGUUUGUGACAUCACUUCCUCUAGAUAGUCACUUCCUGUAAAGCCGUUUCUACCAUUUUGUCCAAGCUGUUGGUGAUGGCAGACAGCCUCGUGUGCGUUCAUGACUGAUAUACCGAGCCCUGCCAAACGGAACUAUGAUGUGAGUGACAGAGAACUCUUAGCAAUCAAACUAGCACUUGAGGAGUGGUGACACUGGUUGGAUGAAGCAGAAAAGCCAGAGUUGGUGUGGACGGAUCGUUCUAAGAACUCUAGACCCGACGCCCCCUCCCUGCAACAUUCACCUGAGAUGUCCAACCAAGACCCAGCAUCUUUAUUUCCCCAGAACUGCUCUAUCGGAACUCUCACCUGGGGGGUAGAGAAUUACAUCCAACAAGCUCAGAGGGAUGAACCAGGCCCUGUUACUGUGCCCUAGAAUCAAACCUAUGUUUCCUCAACAGUCCGUUCGAGACUCAUCAAUUGGAUCUAUGCCUCGAGAUCCGCCUGUU